UAAUACGUAGGGGGCGAGCGUUGUCCGGAUUCAUUGGGCGUAAAGAGCUCGUAGGCGGCCCGCUAAGUCGGAUGUGAAAUCCCAAGGCUCAACCUUGGAACUGCAUUCGAUACUGUCGGGCUUGAGGCAGGUAGGGGAAGGUGGAAUUCCCGGUGUAGCGGUGGAAUGCGCAGAUAUCGGGAGGAACACCGGUGGCGAAGGCGGCCUUCUGGGCCUGUCCUGACGCUGAAGAGCGAAAGCGUGGGGAGCGAACAGGAUUAGAUACCCUGGUAGUCCACGCCGUAAACGAUGGGUGCUAGGUGUGGGGUCCUAUCCACGGAUCCCGCGCCGCAGCUAACGCGUUAAGCACCCCGCCUGGGGAGUACGGCCGCAAGGCUA
rnacentral:rRNA from 1 species